AUAAACUUUAAAAAAAAAAAAAAAAAAAAAAAAAAAAAAAAAAAAAAAAAUCUGUUCUUAUCAGUUUAAUAUCUAUGUCCUCCAGUGGAGGACAACGUAUUAAGCUGAUUUUUGAAGAACGGAUGUGAAGGUGGAGCUUGCUCUAUUCACUCCAUGCAUUGACCCAAGUAUUGCAAGUGUUUCUGGGAACAGUGCCCANNNN
rnacentral:snRNA from 1 species